GACAGAGGGUGCAAACGUUGCUCGGAAUCACUGGGCGUAAAGGGCGUGUAGGCGGGGAGGAAAGUCAGAUGUGAAAUCCCUGGGCUCAACCCAGGAACUGCAUUUGAAACUCCCUUUCUUGAGUGUCGGAGAGGAAAGCGGAAUUCCUGGUGUAGAGGUGAAAUUCGUAGAUAUCAGGAGGAACACCGGUGGCGAAGGCGGCUUUCUGGACGACAACUGACGCUGAGACGCGAAAGCGUGGGGAGCAAACAGG
rnacentral:rRNA from 1 species